GACAGAGGUGCCGAGCGUUAGGCGGAAUCACUGGGCUUAAAGCGUGUGUAGGCGGGUCGUUAAGUGUCUUGUGAAAUCCCACCGCUCAACGGUGGAACCGCUGGGCAUACUGGCGAUCUUGAGCAGUCCAGGGGCGAGCGGAACAAGCGGUGGAGCGGUGAAAUGCGUAGAUAUCAGGAGGAACACCGGUGGUGCAGACGGCUCUCUGGACCGUAACUGACGCUGAGACACGAAAGCGUGGGUAGCAAACAGG
rnacentral:rRNA from 1 species